UACAGAGGUCUCAAGCGUUGUUCGGAUUCAUUGGGCGUAAAGGGUGCGUAGGUGGCGCCGUAAGUCAGGUGUGAAAUUUCGGAGCUUAACUCCGAAACUGCAUUUGAUACUGCGGUGCUUGAGGACUGGAGAGGAGACUGGAAUUUACGGUGUAGCAGUGAAAUGCGUAGAGAUCGUAAGGAAGACCAGUGGCGAAGGCGGGUCUCUGGACAGUUACUGACACUGAGGCACGAAGGCCAGGGGAGCAAACGGG
rnacentral:rRNA from 1 species